rnacentral:lncRNA from 12 species
GGGUCCUGGGGGUCUCUCAGAUCCCGGCACUUUUCCCAAAUGUGUCCAAGAUUGUGAAUCCAAGAAACCACCUAGGAGCCGACACCGAUGCAAGUACAUGAGGAUUUGUUAGCAAGCUCGAGCUUGGGUCCAAGUGUACCCGUCACAGUGGAGCAGGGACUUGGACUCGACGUGGGUUCCAGCUGGAUUUUUAUGGGCUGGUCUAGGGGAUUUCUAGUAAGGAUGGGAGAGUUUCUCAAGCCCUUAGUGCCUCAUUGCGAUAUGGAACUUUCCGUUAAGGGCAUGCUCUGCGGGUGUUCUUGGCACUGACUUGGGCUGGAAGCCGCCGUGCUUACUCCUCUAGGGGCCAGGGGUUGGGGACAUUUCCUGAAUUUUUGGGUCCCACAGAAGCAUGAGUGUACCUUAGGCCGCAGAGUUGCUGUAGGUCAGUAAAAAUAACCAGCAUCAGAAUAUUCCAGCUUCCACGGCUGCUACCUGUAGCUUUCAACCUAUAAAAAAGGAAAAAUUUCCAAAUGACCUUUCCAACAGAAAACAACGGUUGAGGUACCUUAUUUUCAGUCUGUCUCCAAAGACAGGUGUGCAGGAAGAAGCCCUGUGUUCUGCGUUCCACCCACCCCUGUUUUCCCACCCUUCAAAGACCAGCAACUCUGAAAGGAUCAUCUAAGGAAGGGGAAGUCUGCAUCCCUCACUGUGCUGCCAACUAGAGCCCCAUCGCAGAAGGGGGCGCCUGGGUGCUCGGGGCGGGCGUCCUCCCGCGGGGUCAGGGUCCCGGGGCCGCUCCCCGCCCCUCCCCCGCGCCCCAGGCCAGCACGUGCUCGCUCUCCCGCACGAUACACCAGACCUGACAAAACCCCACAGGUGCUGGGCCGGAAGGAGACGUCUCCGGUUGGGCUGUGACUCCAGACAGGAUCCAAAGAGGAGCUCUGCGGGCUCGUCCCUGGGUUUCAUGGAGCCUUGCUGUCCCCUUCUGUGUUGGCCUCCCAGGGCACUGCGGCAGCCUUGGGAGCGCACAGGAAAGGGGGGGCCCGGGGCCCGCGGGGGCGGGGCGGGGCGGGCGGCCACGUGCUCCGGGCCGGGGCCGGGGUCGCCGGGGGUGGGGGCGGGGGGUCGUACCUGCGCGGGGAGCUCCGGCCGCCGCGGCCCCGCUCGCGUCCGACACCCGGGCCGCCCCGAGCCCUCCGGAGUCGCCGGCCUGGGGAGCAGAGCGCAAGCAGAUUUGAUGGCAGUAGUGGAAUUGAAGAAAACUGGCAGCUUUGAGAACGAGAAAUAUAGGCGCCGCACCCGUGAACCCUUUAUGUCCUUGUCCUGUUUCCAAGGGCUGUUGUACUCCGUUUUGGGAAAGUCACUGUACACAAGAUAA